GCAGAUGUAGCUCAGUUGGUAGAGCGCUUGCCUCUCAUGCACAAGGCCCUGGGUUCAAUCCCCAGCACCACUA
rnacentral:tRNA from 1 species